GACGAACGCUAGCGGCGGGCUUAAUACAUGCAAGUCGAACGGACCGAUUCCGGUAGUUUGCUAUGGGGAAUGGUUAGUGGCGGACGGGUGAGUAACACGUAGGCAAUCUGCCCCUAAGUCCGGGAUAACAGACCGAAAGGUCGACUAAUACCGGAUACUCUUUACUAUCCGCAUGUUUGGAAAAUGAAAGGGAACGCGUAGGGAUGAGCCCGCGCCCAAUUAUCGAGUUUGUGAGGUAACGGCCCACCAAUGCAACGAUGGGUAUCCGGCCUGAGAGGGGGGACGGCGACAAUGGGACUGCGACACGGACCAGACUGCUACGGGAGGCAGCAGUAGGGAAUUUUAGGCAAUGGGGGAAAGUCUGAGAGAGCAACGCCGUGUGAGGGAAGCAGGUUUUCGGAUCGUAAAAAUUUGUGAUCGAGGACGCUAAUGCAGGUACUUGAGGAGGAAGCCCCGGCUAACUACGUG
rnacentral:rRNA from 1 species